rnacentral:rRNA from 1 species
CCUACGGGCGGCAGCAGUGGGGAAUCUUCGGCAAUGGGGGGAACCCUGACCGAGCAACGCCGCGUGAGUGAAGAAGGUUUUCGGAUCGUAAAGCUCUGUUGUAAGAGAAGAACGAGUGUGAGAGUGGAAAGUUCACACUGUGACGGUAUCUUACCAGAAAGGGACGGCUAACUACGUGCCAGCAGCCGCGGUAAUACGUAGGUCCCGAGCGUUAUCCGGAUUUAUUGGGCGUAAAGCGAGCGCAGCGGUUAGAUAAGUCUGAAGUUAAAGGCUGUGGCUUAACCAUAGUACGCUUUGGAAACUGUUUGACUUGAGUGCAGAAGGGGAGAGUGGAAUUCCAUGUGUAGCGGUGAAAUGCGUAGAUAUAUGGAGGAACACCGGUGGCGAAAGCGGCUCUCUGGGCUGUAACUGACGCUGAGGAGCGAAAGCGUGGGUAGCGAACAGGAUUAGAUACCCCAGUAGUC